rnacentral:tRNA from 1 species
UCCUUGGUGGUUCAGUGGUUAAAACACCACACUUUCACUGCAGGGGGCACAGAUUCAAACCCUGGUCGAGGAA